rnacentral:tRNA from 1 species
GUGCCAGUGAUGUAAGGCAUAGCCUCGCUGCCCGGUAAGCAGAAGGUGCGGGUUCGAGUCCCGCCUAGCGCA